UUGCACGCUGGCGGCAGGCCUAACACAUGCAAGUCGAACGGUAACAGGAAGAAGCUUGCUUCUUUGCUGACGAGUGGCGGACGGGUGAGUAAUGUCUGGGAAACUGCCUGAUGGAGGGGGAUAACUACUGGAAACGGUAGCUAAUACCGCAUAACGUCGCAAAACCCAAGAGGGGGACCUUCGGGCCUCUUGCCAUCGGAUGUGCCCAGAUGGGAUUAGCUAGUAGGUGGGGUAACGGCUCACCUAGGCGACGAUCCCUAGCUGGUCUGAGAGGAUGACCAGCCACACUGGAACUGAGACACGGUCCAGACUCCUACGGGAGGCAGCAGUGGGGAAUAUUGCACAAUGGGCGCAAGCCUGAUGCAGCCAUGCCGCGUGUAUGAAGAAGGCCUUCGGGUUGUAAAGUACUUUCAGCGGGGAGGAAGGGAGUAAAGUUAAUACCUUUGCUCAUUGACGUUACCCGCAGAAGAAGCACCGGCUAACUCCGUG
rnacentral:rRNA from 1 species